GGUCUGUUUCAGGGCGGGGUGCAAUUCCCCACUGGCGGUAAAGUCCGCGACCCGGCGAAAGUCGGCUGAAUGGGUGAAACUCCCAUACCAACGGUAUAGUCCGGAUGAAAGAAACAGCGU
rnacentral:ncRNA from 2 species